AUAUGUCGUAUGAAAUGGCCUGGAUUGGUGAUAGAGGAUGGUAAGGAGGUCCCUGUCACAAGAUGGGAUCAAUAUGCCCUUGCAAUAAAUGCGCAACAUGGGAAUGCACAAGCUGCAGUUUGGCACGACUUCUGGAAACAUUACAAGUUGCCUGAAGGAGAUACUCAUACGGAACACGCACACUCCGUGUUCCAUAGGAAUGCGGCAAGUGUUGUUGGGGAUAUGAUGUACUAUGCUCGAAUCCAGGUGAUUAGUCAAGCCAUGUUUGGUAGUGAAGGGCGACGUCCAGAGAGUAAGAAUGAGGCGACACAGUAUGGACUCGAUAUGACUGAGCAACAAUAUCUUGAGCAUUCGAUUCCAUGGAUAGCUGCCAAUGAUGCUGCUUGGCAUGCGUUAUGUCGUUACUGGGCUUCGGCUGAAUUCAAGGCAAAGUCUGUGCGACACAGUUCCAAUCGUGGAACCGAGUCGUAUCAUAGGUAUGGAGGUGAUGAUCACUUUCGUUUGGCAAAACGAAUGGUAAGUACAGUUUAAGCCAUUUUCGUUGAUUGUAGUUGACUUGCUGUAAUUUCUGGUUAUAGUGUUUGUCAAAUGUACAUACAGGAAGCUAGCACUGGUGCAGUGCCCAGUGAUGUUCAAAUAUACCUUAGGGGGCACAGAGGACCAGAUCCUGCAAAUCCAGAUGUGUUGUGCAGCCAAAAGGCAACAGAUCGUGUGGCUGCAUAUGGCGAGGCGAUGACUAGUCAGCACGGACCAGACUAUGACUGGAGGACCUCACCUAUUGAUCCUCAGGCUGUGUAUGCAAGUGGUGGAAAAGCUCAUGGAAGGUACACAAUGUUUGCUAACGUCAUCGACUCGAGCCAGGUUAG